GACGAACGCUGGCGGCGUGCUUAACACAUGCAAGUCGAACGGAAAGGCCCUGCUUUUGUGGGGUGCUCGAGUGGCGAACGGGUGAGUAACACGUGAGUAACCUGCCCUUGACUUUGGGAUAACUUCAGGAAACUGGGGCUAAUACCGGAUAGGAGCUCCUGCUGCCUGGUGGGGGUUGGAACGUUUCGGCGGUUGGGGAUGGACUCGGGGCUUAUCAGCUUGUUGGUGGGGUAGUGGCUUACCCAGGCUUUGACGGGUAGCCGGCCUGAGAGGGUGACCGGCGACAUUGGGACUGAGAGACGGCCCAGACGCCUAUGGUAGGCAGCAGUGGGGAAUAUUGCACAAUGGGCGGAAGCCUGAUGCAGCAACGCCGCGUGCGGGAUGACGGCCUUCGGGUUGUAAACGGCGUUCGCCUGUGACGAAGCGUGAGUGACGGUAAUGGGUAAAGAAGCACCGGCUAACUACGUG
rnacentral:rRNA from 1 species